UGUCGGUUCGAAUUUGUGAAGGUGAUCUCGCAUUCUCCCUCCCGAACAUAGUAUAGUGACAUAGCAAAUCAUAGCGAUACCCUUCAGAAUUGAUUUUUUUUUAUCGGAAUCGUAUUAUGUUGAAUUCAUGAUUUGUAGAUAAGGGAUUCAAUGAUUGCUUGACUGUGGAGGGAAAUUAGAGUUGAUAAGAUAUUGAGGGAAGGGAAAAAAAGAGGGUAAUUUCAAGCAGGCGCUAAGAAGCAUCGAUGCGUUCCCGAGAGCAGAAGACCAAAUCCGUGGAGUAUGAUGAACCGCUAAAAUGAAUUAAGGGUUUGGCAUUCAAGUUUGACUGGUGGUGUUGGGAGAGAGAGAGAGAGAGAGCAUAAUUGGUUGGAGCAAUGGACCAAUGUACUAAUCUUUUUCUGUGAAUUUUCAUUGAUGCGGCUUGGUAUAAUAGGCCAUGCAAUAAAUUGUAUGGUCACCUUAGGGUGUGAACUAUUUUGCCUGAUUCCUGUGAGGCAGGUAUUUUAGAUGCCAUUGAUUUUUUAUAGUGAUGAAUUGGUUCAC